AUCGAUAUUGGAGAAAGCAACAAGAAUGGCAAGGGAAGCACUAGAGCUGGGACAUCAGGACCUAGGGCACCAAAGACACAUUGGCCUCAAGCUUUAUCAGAGUUCGUACUUGAUUGGUACAUUGAGAAGAAGAUGGAGCUGCCACCAAAGGCGGUGUUUAAGAAGCUGCAUCACAAUGCAUGUACAAAAGCAGUAAAUGAGAAGUAUGUUAGUACCUACACUUUUGAACAAGUUCAUCGUCACUUUAGACAUCAUAAAGAGACUUGGGCACUUGUAGCUCGCCAUAUGAAUGCUAGUGGUAAUGGCUGGGAUAAUCUGACAAAAAUGGUUACUCUCUCCAAAACUGCUUUGGAUGAACGGUCGGUAAAUGACCGUGGAAUUCUUACAAAGCCAAUCCAGUUUUUUGACAAGUUACAGGAAAUGUUUAGUGGUUCCUCUGCUGAUGGAGCAUUUAUGCAUGAUGCUUCCACCGCUGCUGAUUCUGAUAAUGAAGAUGGUGAACAACAAAAUAUGUAUGAUAUGUCUGGCUACGCUGAUACAAAGGAUCAUCAAGGCGAAGACUCUGAUAAACUCGAGUCAGAUAGUGAUGGUUGUUAGGUUGUGGCAGCAGUCGCCGCAACUUCAAGAUCUAAUGUUAGUGGUCUGAAGCCUAACAAGAAGAUACUCAAGAAGGCUGGGAAUAAAAAGACAGUGCCUCCAUCACAAUCAAACAAGUCAAAGACUAAAAAGUCAGCGGCCACCGCGCGUGAUGACAAUGAUAUUGAUGCCGCAAUUACUAGUACUCUAGUGGGAAUCAAGGAAAGCCUUACACAGCCAAUACAAACUGUAGCCCCACCAGAUCCAAAUGUUCCUCUUUGGAACAUGAUAAAUAAUAUUGCACUAACACCUCAAGAUAGGAUGGCAGUAGGGAUCACUACAAAAAAAUACACUUCCGUGAUGAUACGUGUUUGUCACAGUAGGUCACGUUUUUUGUCAUGCAUGUACAUCCAUGACAAUUUUAUGACAGAAUCAAGAUAG
rnacentral:rRNA from 1 species